UAAUACAGAGGGUGCAAGCGUUGUUCGGAAUUAUUGGGCGUAAAGCGCGUGUAGGCGGCUUGGCAAGUCGGGUGUGAAAGCCCUCAGCUCAACUGAGGAAGUGCGCCCGAAACUGCUGAGCUCGAGUGCCGGAGAGGAUGGCGGAAUUCCCCAAGUAGAGGUGAAAUUCGUAGAUAUGGGGAGGAACACCGGUGGCGAAGGCGGCCAUCUGGACGGUGACUGACGCUGAGACGCGAAAGCGUGGGGAGCAAACAGGAUUAGAUACCCUGGUAGUCCACGCCGUAAACGAUGAGAACUAGGUGUCUCGGGAGUUGACCCCUGAGGUGCCGCAGCUAACGCAUUAAGUUCUCCGCCUGGGAAGUACGGUCGCAAGACUA
rnacentral:rRNA from 1 species